GCGUGGCCAGACCCAGACGUCCUGGAGAUCUCAAUGCAGACACCCGGCGGCAGUUCCUGCAGGAAGGAGGCUGUCCUGCCACGCCUGCGGGUGACCCGGCCUCUGGUGCCAGAGCCUGCCAUCCUUCCUGUUUGUGCUGCCAGGCUGGCAGGGUCCCUUGCCACCGACCUCAGCCGCAGCCACAGCCUGCUCCCUCCCUGGGUGGAUUUGAAGGAGCCUCCCCCACCCUCCGCCCCUAGCUUGCUCCUUGAGGACCCUGGGCAGGGUGGCUGCCAUGGGGCCCAAUCGUGCGUGGGAACCUGCGAGCUGGCAAACGGGGCUCGGGGGUUUUGCCCAGAAAUGGGUCAGAACGAAAGCCUCUCAGAGGAAAGAAAAGGGCAUGAGUCAAAGAGAAAGUCGGGGGGCAGGGGCUCCCCCUCAUCUCACCCCACCCAGGCCUCCUGACUCCCUGGGUUUGUGCGGACCCAGGCAGGCAGCCAACCCCAGCUCCGUGGUGUGUGAGCAUCGUGAUGAUCAGGACACAAGCUCUUCCCCGCUGAGCCUUCACUGUGGGCCAGCUUCCCGGUGGAUGCCCACUGAAGAGGCCUCAACCCAGUGGGCCCCACUCCAGACCAAGAGCAGACCAUUGGCCAGCUGCCCCCUGCAGACAGCGGCACCCGGGGCAGCAGCAAGGCACCCAUCACACCAGGGCCCACACACAGGCUCCCAUCACACCCUGCCCCAUCACAGCAGUGCCCAGAGGGACAUGGGGCUCCCAGCUGAGGGCCAGCCCAAGGUCACAGCUGCCAGCGAAUGUCAACCAGAAAAACGUGAAAAGGAGACGACAGGCCUCGCCUCCCAGCCUACAUCUUUCUCCUGUGCUGGACGCUUCCUGCCCUCGAACAUCGGACUCCAAGUUCAGCUUUGAGACUCGGGCUGGCUCUCCAUGCUCCUCAGCUUGCAGACGGCCUAUUGUGGGACCUUGUGAUCGUGUGAGUUAAUACUUAAUAAACUCCCCUUCAUAUA
ensembl:lncRNA LINC02908 long intergenic non-protein coding RNA 2908